rnacentral:rRNA from 1 species
UACGUAGGGUGCAAGCGUUGUCCGGAAUUAUUGGGCGUAAAGAGCUUGUAGGCGGUUUGUCGCGUCUGCCGUGAAAAUCCGGGGCUCAACCCCGGACUUGCGGUGGGUACGGGCAGACUAGAGUGUGGUAGGGGAGACUGGAAUUCCUGGUGUAGCGGUGAAAUGCGCAGAUAUCAGGAGGAACACCGAUGGCGAAGGCAGGUCUCUGGGCCACUACUGACGCUGAGAAGCGAAAGCCAGGGGAGCGAACGGG